rnacentral:rRNA from 1 species
UUCAAUUGAAGAGUUUGAUCAUGGCUCAGAUUGAACGCUGGCGGCAGGCCUAACACAUGCAAGUCGAGCGGUAACAGGAAAGCGCUUGCGCUUUUGCUGACGAGCGG